AAUGUGCUUGCUUUUGCUAUGAGUUUUUAAAAUGAUUUUUUCGUCACAUAUUUUAAUCUUUCAUUAAUUCUUUUUCGCAGUGCUACUUUCAAUAAAGGUUCUUUUAGUUCUCUCCAUCAUCUCAAGCCUCACCAUUUCAGGACAGUUCUUUUGAGUUCUCUUCAUCUUCUCAUCUAAGUGUUGCGAUUUCAGGUCUUUCACAGUUGCUAGAUCUCACUACUCCCUUGGAAGCAGAACCUACAUCACAAGCUCUCCUUUGUGGAAUUAAUCUGUAGGAAGAGGAUUCCUGCAUUGUAAAUUUUGAUCCUUAAGUACAGUUCUUUCUUCCUUUUCCCCAUUUUCGCUGCCAUUU